UACGUAGGGUGCGAGCGUUAAUCGGAAUUACUGGGCGUAAAGCGUGCGCAGGCGGUUCGUUGUGUCCGAUGUGAAAGCCCCGGGCUCAACCUGGGAAUGGCAUUGGAAACUGGCGGACUCGAGUGUGGCAGAGGGGGGUGGAAUUCCGAGUGUAGCAGUGAAAUGCGUAGAGAUGCGGAGGAACACCGAUGGCGAAGGCAGCCCCCUGGGCUAACACUGACGCUCAGGCACGAAAGCGUGGGGAGCAAACAGG
rnacentral:rRNA from 1 species